rnacentral:rRNA from 1 species
AUGGGAUGCAAUAAAUUGAUGGUGAAUUCAGGUAAUCUCGAGGUCGUGGAAAUGAUGAAUAAUGGUGGUCACUCAAUGGGAGUAGCGGCAGCUAUUUUUGAUGAUUGCUACAAUCUGGUUUUCGAAUUUGCUCAAACUUACUUUGAUCAUUGUAAUAGGCGAGCCAAUUCAGUAGCUCAUGAGCUAGCUAGUAUGGCUAUGAGAGCACAUUCUUUCCUGUGGGUGGAUGAUGCCCGGCCAAAGAUUCCCCCUCUCUUGUUUAAUGAUGUAACAGUUAUCAAAAGAAAAUAA